rnacentral:lncRNA from 1 species
GGGCUCACCAUUUUCCUCAGGAACGAGAAACUUGUUCUCUCAGUGUGUCCAAAUCCAAGUAGUUGAAAGAGAGGGGUUUGAAUCAGUCAUCUCUUUGAUAGUGUGUAGCACUCGCUAAAGCCCCAGUGUUUACUUGGGUAAAUCCCUUUAAGCCAUGUAGUUCUAGAAAAUAAGCUUGCUCAGAGCAGUCCGUUGUCCAUUUAAAAUCUAAUUCUUUAAAAGGUAAAGCAAAUUCUAAUUUGUGAUCUGUAAAAAAUACAACUAGCAGCAUUUUUCUUGUAAAACACUUCAAGUAAUUUCAGUUUUGGUUAAAUACAUACAAAGGGGUGUUUUUUAUGGAAGUAGCUUGAUGAAUAUAAGCGCAGGAGUAGGAGCCAGGCUCCUCUAAUUUUGUAUGUUUUUCCACUGGAUCCUCUGUGGCCAUUUUGGCAAGUUGCUAGAACUGUCAUUGUUACAAUAGUGGUAAUACCUACCUACCUCACAGGGAUGUUGUGAGGAUUAGCUUAUGCCUAUAAAAUGCAUUGAGGAUCUGAGAUGCUAUGUAAAUAUUAAAUAUUUUAAUUUUAGUUUUGUGAGGUGUAAGAUUUACUGUAACGAAAACAGAAGAUUUUCAUACUUACAAAGCCCCGUAGAGGCAGCAGUGGUGCAGUAUUGCCCAGGACUGGUCUACUGCAGUACAGUAAUGCUUACUGUAAAUUGUAGUUAUUUCAAUUACAGCUGAUUGAAAUGGUGGCUUCUUAAAUAAGAUUCCCCACCAGUGUCCCUCAGUUCUGGUCUACAUAGUGAGAGGACAGUUGUUGUUCAGGCUUUGGUGCCUCUACUUGUGACAAGUGCCACUUGUGGUGGUAGGUUUUUUGUUUAAUUUGGUUUAUUUUUUUACAUUUUUCUGCAAAGAGCCACUCAUUUCUCCCAUAUCUGUUCCAGUCGCUCAGUAUAACCAAAGCCUAAUGAUAACAAUUAAAAAGUAAAGAGCCAGCUCUGUCCCCCCAUCAGUUUGCUUUUAAUACGAGUAGAUAGUGCCCUCUUUGCAGUAAAUGAGAUUAAUGCUUUCUAGCACUAAUCAGGAAGCAAAUCAUGAAGUGUGAUUUGCUUUAGAGCCUUAAGCUCUUGGCUGUCUUACAAAACCCUUUUUUAAGUACGAGAUUUCUUGGGGCCCUAGCAAU